GGAGCAGGCCGGAUGGUCGCGGUCCCUUAUGCCCGGGAUCGAGGAAAGUCCGAGCUCCAGAGGGCAGGAUGCUCGCUAACGGCGAGUGGGGGUAACCCUAAGGAAAGUGCAACAGAAAACACACCGCCGGAAUCCGCCAAGCACGGAUGAGCCAGCGUCCGUCGGACGCGCCGGUAAGGGUGAAAUGGUGCGGUAAGAGCGCACCGGCGGCGGGGUGACUCGCCGACCUGGCAAACCCCAUCCGGAGCAAGAUCAAAUAGGGAGGCGAAGGGGUGGCCCGUCCCUAAUGCCUUCGGGUUAGAUCGCUUGCGGUGUUCGGCAACGGACAUCCCAGAUGAAUGACCAUCUCAGUUUCCCUCAGCGAGGGGGAUUAGACAGAACUCGGCUUACAGGCCUGCUCCAGAA
rnacentral:RNase_P_RNA from 1 species